UGCGUAGGCGGCGCGGUAAGUCGGGUGUGAAAUCUUGGAGCUUAACUCCGAAACUGCAUUCGAUACUGCCGUGCUUGAGGACUGGAGAGGAGACUGGAAUUUACGGUGUAGCGGUGAAAUGCGUAGAUAUCGUAAGGAAGACCAGUGGCGAAGGCGGGUCUCUGGACAGUUCCUGACGCUGAGGCACGAAGGUCAGGGGACAAACG
rnacentral:rRNA from 1 species